ensembl:lncRNA
UGCGGGGCCGAUGGAGGAAGGCUGAGGCGCGGUGAGAGGGGCAAGUGGAUCGCCUGGAGGGUCGCUGAGUGACACUUGGAACCACUCCUCAAGUGGAGAUGGAGUAAGCAAAAAGAGGAGCCUUCUGUCUCCGCCGGAGGGUGUUUCAGCGGCCACGAUGACUCCGACCUCGUUCCUCGGUACCAGGCUGUCCCGAUCUGCUCCACAUUGUCGUACGUGCGAUGGAGCGGGCCAGCCUCACAGUUUGUCGCUGGUUUCAUGACUCAACUUGCUAAUUGGUUCGGUUUGUUGACAGACUCGACAGAUGUGGAUAUAGAAGUAAGUAAUACCAUCAUAAGUCUUAUACGCUAUCUUAGUCUUUUUUUUUAAAACUUGUUUUCCUCAUUAUAGGUUAUAUUUAU